rnacentral:rRNA from 1 species
UGCAGUCGAACGGUAACAGGCCGCAAGGUGCUGACGAGUGGCGAACGGGUGAGUUAUGUAUCGGAACGUGCCCAGUCGUGGGGGAUAACGCAGCGAAAGCUGCGCUAAUACCGCAUACGAUCUAUGGAUGAAAGCGGGGGACCGUAAGGCCUCGCGCGAUUGGAGCGGCCGAUAUCAGAUUAGGUAGUUGGUGGGGUAAAGGCUCACCAAGCCAACGAUCUGUAGCUGGUCUGAGAGGACGACCAGCCACACUGGGACUGAGACACGGCCCAGACUCCUACGGGAGGCAGCAGUGGGGAAUUUUGGACGAUGGGCGCAAGCCUGAUCCUGCAAUGCCGCGUGCAGGAAGAAGGCCUUCGGGUUGUAAGCUGCUUUUGUACGGAACGAAACGGUCCUGGUUAAUACCUGGGGCUAAUGACGGUACCGUAAGAAUAAGCACCGGCUAACUACGUGCCAGCAGCCGCGGUAAUACGUAGGGUGCAAGCGUUAAUCGGAAUUACUGGGCGUAAAGCGUGCGCAGGCGGUUUUGUAAGACAGGCGUGAAAUCCCCGGGCUUAACCUGGGAAUGGCGCUUGUGACUGCAAAGCUGGAGUGCGGCAGAGGGGGAUGGAAUUCCGC